UACGAAGGGGGGCUAGCGUUGCUCGGAAUCACUGGGCGUAAAGCGCACGUAGGCGGGUCCUUAAGUCAGGGGGUGAAAUCCCGGAGCUCAACUCCGGAACUGCCCUUUGAUACUGGGGAUCUUGAGUCCGGAAGAGGUGAGUGGAACUCCGAGUGUAGAGGUGAAAAUUCGUAGAUAUUCGGAAGAACACCAGUGGCGAAGGCGGCUCACUGGUCCGGUACUGACGCUGAGGUGCGAAAGCGUGGGGAGCAAACAGG
rnacentral:rRNA from 1 species